rfam:Myotis lucifugus cont2.6754, whole genome shotgun sequence.
AAGCUCCAGGACUAGAGAUACUUUUUAUGAUCUUUCAGUAAUUUCUUCAGAGCAAUAUCCUCUCAGGCAGGUUAUUGCUGCUCUCUCAGAAUUUAUGAUAUUAGGCAUC